rnacentral:misc_RNA from 1 species
GUACAUUUCAUUUUGCUUCAUUAUAGUGUAUCAAGAUGCACUUAAUUCUUUAUACAUUUCAGAAUACAUGAAAGAUUAGAAGAUAAAGGAAAUGUAGAACACAUAGCCAGAGAGAGUUACUCUCCCUGGAUGCCACUUGAGUACGGAAAUAAUGGACAGAGAAUCCAUGAAUCUUUAUGUGCUCUUCCUUCACUAUUGCUGCCUGUUUACCAAAACCAUGGGACAAAAUGAUACUUAGAGAUGCUUAUGUGAGUCUCUGAUGACCAGUCUAAAUGCCACGUGAACCUGAAAGUAGUGAGGUCGGUAGUCUUCGGACUAGCCACUCUGAGACUCGAGUUAGAGGUGUUGAUUGAAAAUAGAGAAAGUGUGAAUACAGAGUUUAGUAGAAAAUUUGACAGAGUAAACAUAUCUGAUUAACCACUGUUUCUCAUAUUUAUAGACUGUAGGCUAAGUAGCCAUUGUAGUUAUCUACAAGAAUUGCAUGAAUCACGAAUAUUGAGUUAAUAUCUCGAGAUUUCUUCCUAAAGAUCCGGCCUUAUCAUUGAUUUACAUUGCUGACAUUCGGUAGAGUUGAUGCUUGGGUUACUGGCUGAGCUUUGUCACUCUAUUCUUGUUUCUUAGCAGUCUUCUGCUCGGUCAGAGUUCUGCUCAGUCCAGGUUGCCCGAACAUCUUUUUGCUCGGUCUGGGCUGCCCAAGCAAUCCUUGCUUGGUCUGAAUAUUUAACUGAGUAUGACACUUUGAUUGCCACGUUGGAUUCUUCAUUCGAGCGCCGACUAUCUGACUCGGUUUCAGGCAUGUAAAAUCAUAACCACCUAAAUAAGUCAAGGAAGGUGGAAAUAUUUUUCCUUUUUUUCACCUUGAAGCUGAAUAGCCAAGCUCUGGAUCCUGGACAACAUUACUGUUGCAGCACAGCACAACUCUUUCUUAAGGUCCUUCACAAUCUUAUUAUAGCUUAAUUCCUUCUUUGACAGUUUAGACAGGCUUUUCCUUCCAUUUCUCUGUUUGUUUGCCUAUAUGCACAUAUUCCAUGGCCCCACCAUCUGAAUCCGUAGCAUUUGCCUCAGUGAAUAUGGAUCUGAAUAAACCGUACAAGACAAUGCACCAGAACUGUCAGAAUGCUUGCACAGUAUAUAAAUACAUGCUCAAUUGAUAUUUGAUAAUUUGGUGCCAAUUCAGGUCCAGUUCACAACAGAGAAUACUCCCAACUUUGAUAGCUAAAGUAUUAAGAAGGCUCUUGAAUCAGGAUGAAAAUUUAAAAGUUAUCAUUGCUGCAUUCUUGUGGCGUUAUGUUAUUCACUUUUAGUUCUUUUCCUGUUAAAAUCAUAAUAGCAAUAGCUCCAAGGUGCUAAGAGUUUCCAGGCAAAACUGAAUAACAAAUGAAGAAUGGACAUACCCAAGGCCUUAGGAAUUUGGACGUCGAGUUCAGACAUGAAC